UGGCUCACCUACCGGAAGCGGCACAGCUACGCCACCAAAUCGAACCAGACCCGCGUCGUCAAGACACCUGUUGAUUAGGUGGGAAACUUGUGUUCCAGUACACCAAGAAGCGCGCGAGCGGACCGAAGUGCCCAGUCACCGGGAAGAAGAUCCAAGGA